rnacentral:rRNA from 1 species
UACGUAGGGGGCAAGCGUUGUCCGGAUUUAUUGGGCGUAAAGAGCGUGUAGGCGGUCAGGUAGGUCCGUUGUGAAAACUCGAGGCUCAACCUCGAGACGCCGAUGGAAACCAUCAGACUAGAGUCCGGAAGAGGAGAGUAGAAUUCCUGGUGUAGCGGUGAAAUGCGCAGAUAUCAGGAAGAACACCCGUGGCUAAGGCGGCUCUCUAGUACGGUACUGACGCUGAGACGCGAAAGCGUGGGGAGCGAACAGG